rnacentral:lncRNA from 1 species
CUGCUGCCUACUCUGGAGUGCAGCAACUAUUCACAGGCAUGAUCAUAGCACACUGCAGCCUUGAACUCCUGGGCUCAGACCAUCCUCCUGCCUCAGCCGCCUGAGUAGCUGGUACUAUAGGCAUGCACUACCACACCUGGCUUGUAAUUUCGCUCUUGUUGCCCAGCCUGGAGUGCAAUGGUGCAAUUUUGGCUCACCACAACCUCUGCCUCCCGGGUUGAAGCGAUUCUCAUGCCUCAGCCUCCCGAGUAGCUGGGAUUACAGGCAUGAGCCACCGUGCUCAGCCGCAAAAUUCUUUAUGAAUUUUACACUUGGCAAAUGUUAAUGACGGAAGCCAUAGUCUGCUCCUAAUACAUGUCCAAAGCAUUGACUGUUGUGUCAUUAGCUGCCUGGUUACAUUAGCUCCCUGGCUUCUUGUUUAGACCACUGCUAAUCCCUUAAAAACAAGAGGUCUGGCACUAGUAGCACAACCUAAGGUGGCAUUACAGAUCUUUGAGCGAGCCACAGCAACUUUUCUGCCAAGUCAGCUUAGUUUAGACUUCAGUGAAUCAGGCUAUUGCUAUCCUAAUGUAUGUCUCUAUGAGUGUAUUUAGCCACACAUCUGCCCUUGGUUGACUUUCUGACUCAUUGCUUGCUUGCUUGUUUCCUUGCUUUGGAAAACUAUUGAAGAUUGCUAAAAAAUACCACUGCAAAGUGAUGGAAAAGGGUGGAGAACAGGGGAGUAGCCAGGCUGGAUGGCUCAAAUAUAAAUGAAUGAGGAAUUCUUUAUGAAGUAUCAGUCAGAUUUUAUGAUUAAGUGAUGUAAUAUAGGAAUUAUGUAAAAGGGAAGAAUGUCUGAUACUGAUCUAUUAGAGAGGUACUUUAGAGGCUUCUUGAUUGGCAUAAAGUUCCUAAGGUUAUAGAUUUUCCCCCCUUUUGGCUGUAUAGCAAAGUGUUUUAAUCCACGGUUGUGCCUUAUUGUUCCAUUAAAAUUGUAUCUUCGAUCCAUCAAUAAAUACUUGUGGUUGAAACAAAAUAA